AAUCACCAACAAUCAUAAAGUUGAGCUGAUAAAAAAGGGACUGACUAUUAAAUAGAGGAGAUUAUAGUAAGAAAUUGAAAUGUCCCUAAUAAUCAAAGAAUAAAGUAUUUUUUAACAUAAAAAAAGUCUGAAAAGAAAACUAAGUUACACCGUCAACGAUUAAGAGAUUAGCUCAUUAACAAGCCACCACAUUAUUCAUUUUUUGGUAUCGUUUAACAGAUCACCAAUAUCCAAGGCGACUUUGUAAACAAACGUGGGAAAGACAAUAUAAGUUUUUAAUGCUUUGCAGGUGGAGCAGGUGACUCUUCUGAAGCCACCAAAUUAUGGA